ensembl:lncRNA
CUUUCAGGACACGAACAGUCCAGUCCAGCAGGUGGCGGUAAUGCACCCCGCCAAUACACCCAAAAGAAGAAGAAGAAGAAGCCGCGUCCCGCUUUAUGGCCUUUUUCUCUCAAUUUAAUUUAGGGUCUGAUUUAAAGCUGAUCAGCAGCAGGAGAAGAAACUGAUGGAGCAGCAGAGGAAUAUUUUCAUCCAUUCGGAAUCAGCUCAGCCACUACAGGGGAAACAAUGAGCUCAACACAGAAGUGAUCUUUUUGGACACCCCCACAGAAGAGCAGCAUGUGCAGUCCAAGAAUGUCACCAAGGAGCAAUGUGACGACAAACAAAGCCACGUCAAAGAACACCCUGAUCAACAAGCAAGCAGAGAGCCUCACCAAGGAGCAUCAAGCUUCUAGGCUCCUGGAGGGGCAUCCAAAGAGCCUGUCAGAUGAGCAGACAGAGACUGUUUUUGUUUUCAAUCUUGUUUCUUUAUCUGG